AUCACAAUUGUGAUUUCUAAAAACCACAUAAUGCUAUUCUUCACAUACUGCUUCUAGAAUAUGGGUUUUUGGCAUGCCUAAAACCAUGUGUUUUCCUAUUCGGAUUAUUAAUGUCAUUAAAAUUUAAGUGACCAAGUAUGUAAUUCCAUAACCAUUCAUCUUUACUAGCUACAAUCACUAGACACUUGUGUUUCAACACA
rnacentral:lncRNA from 1 species